UACGUAGGGUGCAAGCGUUGUCCGGAAUUAUUGGGCGUAAAGCGCGUGUAGGCGGCUAAGUAAGUCGGGCGUGAAAUCCCACGGCUCAACCGUGGAAGUGCACUCGAAACUGCGUAGCUAGAGUCCUGGAGAGGAAGGUGGAAUGCUUGGUGUAGAGGUGAAAUUCGUAGAUAUCAAGCGGAACACCGGUGGCGAAGGCGGCCUUCUGGACAGUGACUGACGCUGAGACGCGAAAGCGUGGGGAGCAAACAGG
rnacentral:rRNA from 1 species